rnacentral:rRNA from 1 species
GGAUCCAGACUUUGAUCAUGGCUCAGGAUUAACGCUGGCGGCGCACAUAAGACAUGCAAGUCGAACGGAAGUCGUUAUAACUCAGAACGAAGAUUUAUCUGAGGGACGAGAUAUAACAAUGGCUUUAGUGGCGGACUGGUGAGUAACACGUAAGAAACCUGCCUAUUAGAGGGGAAUAACAACGAGAAAUCGUUGCUAAUACCGCAUAAGCUAGUAGUACCGCAUGGUACAGCUAGAAAAGGAGAAAUCCGCUAAUAGAUGGUCUUGCGUCCGAUUAGCUAGUUGGUGGGGUAACGGCCUACCAAGGCAACGAUCGGUAGCCGAGCUGAGAGGCUCAACGGCCACAUUGGGACUGAGAUACGGCCCAGACUCCUACGGGAGGCAGCAGUCGGGAAUAUUGCGCAAUGGAGGAAACUCUGACGCAGUGACGCCGCGUAUAGGAAGAAGGUUUUCGGAUUGUAAACUAUUUUAGACAGGGAAGAAAUUGACAGUACCUGUAGAAUAAGCUCCGGCUAACUACGUGCCAGCAGCCGCGGUAAUACGUAGGGAGCAAGCGUUAUCCGGAUUUAUUGGGUGUAAAGGGUGCGUAGACGGGAGAACAAGUUAGUUGUGAAAGCCCUCGGCUUAACUGAGGAACUGCAACUAAAACUAUUUUUCUUGAGUGCAGGAGAGGAAAGCGGAAUUCCUAGUGUAGCGGUGAAAUGCGUAGACAUUAGGAGGAACACCAGUGGGCGAAGGCGGCUUUCUGGACUGUAACUGACGUUGAGGCACGAAAGUGUGGGGAGCAAACAGGAUUAGAUACCCUGGUAGUCCACACCGUAAACGAUGGAUACUAGGUGUAGGAGAUG